AACGUAGGGAAACUUACGCUAAUACCGCAUACGACCUACGGGUGAAAGCAGGGGACCUUCGGACCUUGCGCGAUUGAAUGAGCCGAUGUCGGAUUAGCUAGUUGGCGGGGUAAAGGCCCACCAAGGCGACGAUCCGUAGCUGGUCUGAGAGGAUGAUCAGCCACACUGGAACUGAGACACGGUCCAGACUCCUACGGGAGGCAGCAGUGGGGAAUAUUGGACAAUGGGCGCAAGCCUGAUCCAGCCAUACCGCGUGGGUGAAGAAGGCCUUCGGGUUGUAAAGCCCUUUUGUUGGGAAAGAAAUCCAGCCGGCUAAUACCUGGUUGGGAUGACGGUACCCAAAGAAUAAGCACCGGCUAACUUCGUGCCAGCAGCCGCGGUAAUACGAAGGGUGCAAGCGUUACUCGGAAUUACUGGGCGUAAAGCGUGCGUAGGUGGUUGUUUAAGUCUGUUGUGAAAGCCCUGGGCUCAACCUGGGAACUGCAGUGGAAACUGGACAACUAGAGUGUGGUAGAGGGUAGCGGAAUUCCCGGUGUAGCAGUGAAAUGCGUAGAGAUCGGGAGGAACAUCCAUGGCGAAGGCAGCUACCUGGACCAACACUGACACUGAGGCACGAAAGCGUG
rnacentral:rRNA from 1 species